rnacentral:rRNA from 1 species
UAUAUAUGUCUACCGUGGUUGUAACGAGUACAGAGAAUCAGGGUUUGGUUCUGGAGAGGCCGCCUGAGAAACGGCGACCACUUCCAAGGAAGGCAGCAGGCGCGCAAAUUACCCACUCUCAAAAUGAGGAGGUAGUGAAGAGAAAUAACGAUGUUAGUCUUAUAUAGGCUGACAAUCGGAAUGGGAACACUGUAAACAGGUUAUCGAUUAACAAUUGGAGGGCAAGUCUGGUGCCAGCAGCCGCGGUAAUUCCAGCUCCAAUAAGGAAAACUAAAGUUGCUGUGUUUAAAAAGCUCGUAGUUGAAUUUCGGGUAUUUGUUUCUAGCUGGUCUCUAUGGCCAUGUUGGUUAACAGAUCCUCACUUGCUGGACGGCUGGCGAUGAUCUUUAUCGAUUGUCGUCAGUUGCCAGAACGUUUACUUUGAGAAAAUUAGAGUGCUAAAAGCAGGCUCACGCCUAAAUAUAUUGCAUGGAAUAAUGAAAUAAGAUCUCGAUUUUAUUUCGUUGGUUUUAGAAGUUGAGAUAAUGAUUAAUAGGAUCAGAGGGGGGCGUACGUACUGUGGUGUGAGAGGUGAAAUUCUUGGAUCGCCACAGGACGAACAGCAGCGAAGGCGUUCGCCAAGAAUGUUUUCAUUAAUCAAGAACGAAAGUUUGAGGUUCGAAGACGAUUAGAUACCGUCCUAGUUCAAACCAUAAACGUUGCCAACUGUCUUUUAGAUGCGGUUAUUUAUAUGACUCAUCUGGCGGAUCUCGAGAAAUCUAAGUUUUUAGGUUCCGGGGGAAGUAUGGUUGCAAAGCUGAAACUUAAAAGAAUUGACGGAAGGACACACAAGAAGUGGAGCCUGUGGCCUAAUUUGACCCAACACGGGAAACCUUACUCGGCCAGGACACUUUUAGGAUUGACAGAUUGAGAGCUCUUUCUUGAUUAGGUGGGUGGUGGUGCAUCGUCGUUCGUAGUUCGUGGAGCGAUUUGUCUGAUUAAUUUCGAUAACGAACGAGACUCCGGCUUACUAAAUAGUCUAAAGUUCGAAGGGACUUUUCAAGACUUCUUAGCAGGAUAAGUGGCGCCCUUUAAGCCACACGAAAUGGAGCAAUAACAGGUCUGUGAUGCCCUUAGAUGUCCGAGGCUGCACGCGCGCUACACUGGAGAGUUCAGAAUGUUUCUUCCUACUUCGACAGAAGCGGGUAACCAUGAAAUUCUCUUCGUGACUGGGAUCGGAGCUUGCAAUUAUUCUCCGUCAACGAGGAAUUCCUAGUAAGCACUAUUUCAUCAGAAUGUGCUGAUUAUGUCCCUGUCCUUUGUACACACCGCCCGUCGCUACUACCGAUUGAAUGUUUUAGUGAGAUCUUCGGCUUGGUUUUCCGAGCGGCUUUCGGGUCGUUCGGUUUAUAUCGAAAAGAUGCUCAAACUGGAUCAUUUAGAGGAAGUAAAAGUCGUAACAAGGUA